rnacentral:rRNA from 1 species
UCGUGAGACAGUUCGGUCCCUAUCUGCCGUGGGCGUUGGAAGAUUGAGAGGGGCUGCUCCUAGUACGAGAGGACCGGAGUGGACGAAUCACUGGUGUUCGGGUUGUCAUGCCAAUGGCAUUGCCCGGUAGCUAAAUUCGGAAGAGAUAACCGCUGAAAGCAUCUAAGCGGGAAACUUGCCUCGAGAUGAGUCUUCCCUGGGGCUUUAAGCCCCCUGAAGGAACGUUAAAGACUAUGACGUUGAUAGGCUGGGUGUGUAAGUGCAGCGAUGCAUUGAGCUAACCAGUACUAAUGAUCCGUGAGGCUUAACCUU